AAUAAACCAAUUUUUCAUUUUUACCUAUAAUUUUUUACUCUUCGUCUUAUUCAAAGUUUUUUUGAUUGAUAUUUUUAUUUUUAUUAGAUGAUAAAUUAUGAAUAGUACUCUACGUGUGACUAAUUUUUUUUAAUUUUCUAAAUUUUUUUUAAAUAAGACAGAUGAUCAAACGUUAGACAUGGAAAUCAGAG
rnacentral:pre_miRNA from 1 species